rnacentral:rRNA from 1 species
CCCAACAGACCGUGAUAACCUCGGGAAACUGAGGCUAAUAACGGAUAGUGCUCCCGAGCUGGAAUACUGGGAGCGCGAAAGCUCCGGCGCUGUUGGAUGUGGCUGCGGCCGAUUAGGUAGACGGUGGGGUAACGGCCCACCGUGCCGAUAAUCGGUACGGGUUGUGAGAGCAAGAGCCCGGAGACGGACUCUGAGACAAGAGUCCGGGCCCUACGGGGCGCAGCAGGCGCGAAACCUUUACACUGUACGCAAGUACGAUAGGGGGACACCGAGUGCGAGGGCAUAGAGCCCUCGCUUUUGUACACCGUUAGGUGGUGCACGAAUAAGGGCUGGGCAAGACCGGUGCCAGCCGCCGCGGUAACACCGGCAGCCCAAGUGAUGGCCGCUAUUAUUGGGCCUAAAGCGUCCGUAGCUGGCCGUUCAGGUCCGUCGGGAAAUCCACUGGCUUAACCAGUGGGCGUCCGGCGGAAACCGUUCGGCUUGGAACAGGGAGACCAGAGGGGUACGUCCGGGGUAGGAGUGAAAUCCCGUAAUCCUGGACGGACCAUCGGUGGCGAAAGCGCCUCCGGAGAACUGAUUCGACAGUGAGGGACGAAAGCUGGGGUCUCGAACCGGAUUAGAUACUCGGGUAGUCCCAGCCGUAAACGAUGCUUGCUAG